AUGAGGUAGUAGGUUAUGCAGU
rnacentral:miRNA from 1 species